UACGUAGGAGACGAGCGUUGUCCGGAGUUACUGGGCGUAAAGGGUGCGCAGGUGGCCGCGCGCGUGGGGAGUGGAAAUCGACCUGGCUUAACUGGGCGGGGGCUUUCCAGACGGCGUGGCUUGAGCCACAGAGGGGGGCGUGGAAUUCGGGUGGAGCGGUGAAAUGCGUAGAGAUCCGGAGGAACACCGACGGCGCAGGCAGCGCCCUGGCUGUGAUAGCUGACACUGAGGCACGGAAAGCUGGGGGAGCAAACAGGG
rnacentral:rRNA from 1 species